AUACGAUGCUGCGUUCAAAAAAUACAGCAUUUUAAAUCAUAAUUCAAAAUGGCCGACGCCUAAAAUGGCCGACACAGGAAAAUUGGAUAUCAUUUGACUCGACAUGACUCACUGAAUCUAAAGAGACCAGUUGUGUGAUUUUUGGCCAAACCAUUCAGUAGUUAUAAGCCAAAAUAUGCAUUUUUCAUAUCUCCUGACCACUAGGUGGCGCUGUGUCGAAACACUGCAGGUAGUCUCAGUUCAUGCUUGUUAUAACACACGCCAAGUUUGGUCUCAAUAUGACAAACCGUUGCCGGGAUAUAGCCUCACGUGCAUGUUUGCGUGCUUUUCGUCAAAUUUGUUUACGUGUCAUUCGACAACAGUUGGACGAAUCAACUUGAAUUCCAUAACUUUUUGUCAGCAUGGUCUGAAGAUGAUCUGAGCCAAUUUUCGUGGCAAUCGGACUAACCGUCUAGGACGAGUUCGAAAAAGUAGGUUUUUCGAAUAAUUGAAAAUAGCGAAAAAACUAAACCUUGCGAUUUUUGAAUUUUGGGGUUCAUUCGACUUGGCAUGAGCCAAGGAUUCAGAGGAAAAAAGAAUUUCCAUUUUCUGGCUUACGGUUCAAAAGUUAUUAGCAUACAAACAUUGAAAGUUUGGACAAGUGGUGGCGCUAGAGAGUAGGAGAUAGAGACUUCAAAUUUGCUAUAGUUAAUGUUGGGACUGUCCUCUAUCAGUGUGCCAAAUUAUACAACUUUCCCGCAAUCGGUUCUAUGGGCUGCCAUAGACUUGCGGCGGAAGAAGAAGAAGAAGAAAUAUAGCUGCAAGCAGCAAUUACGGGGCCAAGCACUCCAACGGCAAAUGUAGGAGCUAAGCAUCGCAUGAAGCAUCACACCAAAUUCAUUAAUGAGCAAUAACAGCAAUUUUGGAAUUAUUGUAAUUGAAAUGGCAAAAAAAAUUAUAAUACCACCUCUAGUAGCAUGAUUACUUGGCUUAUCAAGCUUGACCAAUAGGUGGCACUGUUAUAAAAUCAAUUUGGUGUACUCUGUGUGACUUUUCAAUGACACACACAAAGUUUGGUGUCAAUAUGCCAAAGCAUUCCAGGGAUGCAGCCUCAAGUGUCAUUUUCUCAUUGUGCCUCAAAUUCGUCGAUGUGGUAUGCGAAAACGGUUUUGUCUAUCGACUCAAAAGCCAUAACUUUGAGUCAGCAUAGUCUGAAGAUCAUUUGAUUCGAAUUUGGUGAAAAUCGGACCUACGGUUGAUGAGGAGUUCGACAAAGUAGGUUUUCAACAUAAAUCAAAAUGGCGGACCGGAAGUUCAGCUUACUAUGGUAUAUUUGGUAUCUAUGUUAUCGGCAUAAACCAGGGAAUAUUUUGAGCCCAGUUCCAUUCGAAUGGGCUAAUGCAAUAAAAAGUUAUUAGCAUUUUUACAAGUGUAAUUAUUCAUGGUUAAUGAAUGGUUUAUUACUCUUGACCAAUAGGUGGCGCUGUUACCAAAUUUAUGUGGCAUGGUCAGUGUGAGGUGGCGAUGACACAUACAAAGUUUGGUGCAAAUAUGUCAAAGUGUUGCAGAGAUACAGCCUCAAAUGCAUUUUGGCACCCUUCCAGCAAAUUCGUUGAUGCGCUAAAUGAGAACCGUUACGUAUAUCGACACAAAAUCCAUAACUUUUUGCCAGCAUGGUCUGAAGAUGAUUCACGUCAAAUUUGGUGAAAAUUGGGCUAACGGUCUAGGAGGAGUUUGAAAAAGUAGGUUUUCAACAUUAAGCAAAAUGGCGGACAGGAAGUAAGGCCAAUUUUCACAUUAUUGGUAUCAAUACUCUCGGCAUGACCCACAGAAUAUAGCGAGACCAUUUUAAUUUUAAUAGACUAAUUUAUUCAAAAGUUAUUAGCGUUUAUGUGAUAUUUCAUUAUAACUAUUGGCCACAAGGUGGCGCUGCCACCAAACUUUUUGAGUACCUUCAGGGCAUGGAGCCGAAUAUUUUUGUAAUUAUUUGCGAAACGAUACGAUGCUGCGUUCAAAAAAUACAGCAUUUUGAAACAUAAUUCAAAAUGGCCGACGCCUAAAAUGGCCGACACAGGAAAAUUGGAUAUCAUUCGACUCGACAUGACUCACUGAAUCUAAAGAGACCAGUUGUGUGAUUUUUGGCCAAACCAUUCAGUAGUUAUAAGCCAAAAUAUGCAUUUUUCAUAUCUCCUGACCACUAGGUGGCGCUGUGUCGAAACACAGCAGGUAGUCUCAGUUCAUGCUUGUUAUAACACACGCCAAGUUUGGUCUCAAUAUGACAAACCGUUGCCGGGAUAUAGCCUCACGUGCAUGUUUGCAUGCUUUUCGUCAAAUUUGUUUACGUGUCAUUCGACAACAGUUGGACGAAUCAACUUGAAUUCCAUAACUUUUUGCCAGCAUGGUCUGAAGACGAUCUGAGCCAAUUUUCGUGGCAAUCGGACUAACCGUCUAGGACGAGUUCGAAAAAGUAGGUUUUUCGAAUAAUUGAAAAUAGCGAAAAAACUAAACCUUGCGAUUUUUGAAUUUUGGGGUUCAUUCGACUUGGCAUGAGCCAAGGAUUCAGAGGAAAAAAGAAUUUCCAUUUUCUGGCUUACGGUUCAAAAGUUAUUAGCAUACAAACAUUGAAAGUUUGGACAAGUGGUGGCGCUAGAGAGUAGGAGAUAGAGACUUCAAAUUUGCUAUAGUUAAUGUUGGGACUGUCCUCUAUCAGUGUGCCAAAUUAUACAACUUUCCCGCAAUCGGUUCUAUGGGCUGCCAUAGACUUGCGGCGGAAGAAGAAGAAUAAUAAUAACGCCAACGAUUACAAUAGGUGCCUACGCACCUUCGGUGCUUGGCCCCUAAUAAAUAUAGCUGCAAGCAGCAAUCACGGGGCCAAGCAUUCCAGCGGCAACAUCAGGAGCUAAGCAUAUGUAGCAUCAGACCAAAUGCAACAAUGAAUAAUGAAAUUAAUAAUUGCAUGAUUGUAAUUGAAAUGGCUGAAAAUCGUUAAUAAAAGUUCCACAGCGAGGAGCUAAGCAUGGCAUGGAGCAUCAGACCAAAUGCAACGAGUAAGAAAAGCAAUUAUUGGAAGAGUGUAAUUGAAACAGCCAGUAAAACUCCAGUAAAAUGAUGCAUUAUCAUUUUUGGAAAAUAGUUGGCGCUGUAAUCAAAUUGCUUUGUUGUGUUCUGUGGGAGGUGACAAUGUUGUGGGCAAUUUCUUUCAAAAUACUUACAGACCUUUAGGGCAAUGAGUCGAACAUGCCCACCGAGUUUCGUUCCGAUCGACUUCUAUUAACCUUGUCAAAUAGGUGCUUAAAGUUGUUUGGCCAAUGGCGGCCAUGUUUUUUAAGAUAAGUGAAAUUCCUCAUAGAGCACUUGUGCCACAUUGGGCCAUAUCAAUUUUCAAGUUGAUUGGAUCAGCGGUUGCUUAGUUAUAGCCAUUUUAGUUUUUUUUUUCAUCCUGUAGCGCCACCAAGUGGCAGAUAUGGAAAAAAAAAUAAUUUGACUAAAGUUUUUGUUCAUGCAUAUGAGUUCUGAGUUUGGUGAAGAUAUCUCAUUUUGUUCCCGAGUUAUAGCCUUUUUCAUAAAAUUGGUCCACGAAUUUGAAUGUUUGGGUCACCUGGUUUUUUGUUCAGUCUUGAUCAAACCA